UGGUUGACUGCAGGAUUAACAUGAGUCAGCAGUACAACUUGGUAGUCAAGAGGGCAACGCCACCCUUGCAUGCAUAGCCAGAAGAGUGGCUUCUAGAUUGAGAGAGGUAUUACUACCACUCUAUAUGACUGCUGCACCUGCAACUGGAGUACUAUGUUCA